CCUGAAAGAUUAUAGGAGGUCCAGCCUGCCCAGUGAUAAAAUUAAACGGCCGCGGUACCCUAACCGUGCGAAGGUAGCGCAAUCACUUGUUCUUUAAAUGAGGACUAGUAUGAACGGCAUCACGAGGAUUAUACUGUCUCCCUUCUUUAAUCAGUGAAACUGAUCCCCCCGUGAAGAAGCGGGAAUAAACAUAUAAGACGAGAAGACCCUAUGGAGCUUUAAACUUAACACCACUUAUCUAAAACACUUCAUAAUAAACAGAUAAGCUUGUGCACAUUUUAGGUUGGGGUGACCGCGGAGUAAAAUUUAACCUCCACGUUGAAAGGCCUUUAUCCUUAUCCAAGAGCCACAUCUCCAAGAAUCAACAAAUUGACAUUUAUUGACCCAAAUUUUUUUGAUCAACGAAC
rnacentral:rRNA from 1 species